AGAGUUUGAUCAUGGCUCAGGAUGAACGCUGGCGGUACGUCUGACACAUGCAAGUCGAACGGUAAGCCACCUUCGGGUGGCCUAGAGUGGCGAACGGCUGAGUAACACGUAGGAACCUACCCCUUAGUCUGGGAUAACGGGACGAAAGCCCCGCUAACACCGGAUAAUAUCGAAAGAUUGAAAGGUUACGCUGAGGGAGGGGCCUGCGGGCUAUUAGCUUGAUGGUGGGGUAACGGCUCACCAUGGCGAUGAUGGCUAGCUGGUCUGAGAGGAUGAUCAGCCAGACUGGGACUGAGACACGGCCCAGACUCCUACGGGAGGCAGCAGUUCAGAAUCUUGCACAAUGGGCGAAAGCCUGAUGCAGCGAUACCGCGUGGGUGAAGAAGGCCUUCGGGUCGUAAAGCCCUGUCAGAGGGAAAGAUAAUGACGGUACCCUCUAAGGAAGCCACGGCUAAUUACGUGCUAGCCGCCGCGGUAAUC
rnacentral:rRNA from 1 species